CCAAGGUUGACCUCAGAUCAGGUAGGAAUACCCGCUGAACUUAAGCAUAUCAAUAAGCGGAGGAAAAGAAACAACAGGGAUUGCUCAGUAACGGCGAGUGAAGCGGCAACAGCUCAAAUUUGAAAUCUGGCCCCCGGCCCGAGUUGUAAUUUGCAGAGGAUGUUUCUGGCGAGGUGCCUUCCGAGUUCCCUGGAACGGGACGCCAUAGAGGGUGAGAGCCCCGUACGGUUGGUCGCUAAGCCUCUGUGAAACUCCUUCGACGAGUCGAGUAGUUUGGGAAUGCUGCUCUAAAUGGGAGGUAUACGUCUUCUAAAGCUAAAUACCGGCCAGAGACCGAUAGCGCACAAGUAGAGUGAUCGAAAGAUGAAAAGCACUUUGAAAAGAGGGUUAAAUAGUACGUGAAAUUGUUGAAAGGGAAGCGCUUAUGACCAGACUUGGGCCGGUUGAUCAUCCAUCGUUCUCGGUGGUGCACUCUGCCGGCUCAGGCCAGCAUCAGUUCGGCGCGGGGGAUAAAGGCUUCGGGAAUGUGGCUCCUCACGGGGAGUGUUAUAGCCCGCUGCGUAAUACCUGGGCUGGACUGAGGUACGCGCUCCGCAAGGAUGCUGGCGUAAUGGUCAUCAGUGACCCGUCUUGAAACACGGACCAAGGAGUCGUCUUCGUAUGCGAGUGUUCGGGUGUCAAACCCCUACGCGGAAUGAAAGUGAACGUAGGAGAGAGCUUCGGCGCAUCUCCGACCGAUCCUGAUGUUCUCGGAUGGAUUUGAGUAAGAGCAUACGGGGCCGGACCCGAAAGAAGGUGAACUAUGCCUGUAUAGGGUGAAGCCAGAGGAAACUCUGGUGGAGGCUCGCAGCGGUUCUGACGUGCAAAUCGAUCGUCAAAUAUGGGCAUGGGGGCGAAAGACUAAUCGAAC
rnacentral:rRNA from 2 species